ACGUAGGGCGCGAGCGUUAAUCGGAAUUACUGGGCGUAAAGCGUGCGCAGGCGGCGCGUUAAGACAGGUGUGAAAGCCCCGAGCUUAACUUGGGAAUUGCGCUUGUGACUGGCGUGCUGGAGUGUGGCAGAGGGAGGUGGAAUUCCACGUGUAGCAGUGAAAUGCGUAGAGAUGUGGAGGAACACCGAUGGCGAAGGCGGCCAUCUGGGACAACACUGACGCUGAAGCACGAAAGCGUGGGGAGCAAACAGGA
rnacentral:rRNA from 1 species